AGAUGGCGACCGGCGCACGGGUGAGUAACACGUAUCCAACCUGCCGAUAACUCGGGGAUAGCCUUUCGAAAGAAAGAUUAAUACCCGAUGGCAUAGUUCUUCCGCAUGGUAGAACUAUUAAAGAAUUUCGGUCAUCGAUGGGGAUGCGUUCCAUUAGGUUGUCGGCGGGGUAACGGCCCACCAAGCCUUCGAUGGAUAGGGGUUCUGAGAGGAAGGUCCCCCACAUUGGAACUGAGACACGGUCCAA
rnacentral:rRNA from 1 species